rnacentral:tRNA from 1 species
GGCUGGAGAGAUGGCUCAGUGGUUCAGGGCACUGACUGCUCUUCCAGACGUCCUGAGUUCAAUUCCCAGCAACCA